AGUGAACGCUGGCGGCAGGCCUAACACAUGCAAGUCGAACGGCAGCACAGUGGAGCUUGCUCCAUGGGUGGCGAGUGGCGGACGGGUGAGGAAUACAUCGGAAUCUGCCCAGUCGUGGGGGAUAACAUAGGGAAACUUAUGCUAAUACCGCAUACGACCUACGGGUGAAAGCGGGGGAUCGCAAGACCUCGCGCGAUUGGAUGAGCCGAUGUCCGAUUAGCUAGUUGGCGGGGUAAUGGCCCACCAAGGCGACGAUCGGUAGCUGGUCUGAGGGGAGGUCCAGCAGAAGUUGAGCUAGGACACGGUCCAAACGCCUACGGGAGGCAGCAGUGGGGAAUAUGGUACAGUGGGCGCAAGCAUGAUCCAGCCAUGCCGCGUGGGUGAAGAAGGCCUUCGGGUUGUAAAGCCCUUUUGUCCGGAAAGAAAAGUCCCGGGUUAAUACCCUGGGGUGAUGACGGUACCGGAAGAAUAAGCACCGGCUAACCUCGUGCCAGCAGCCGCCGCGGUAA
rnacentral:rRNA from 1 species